rnacentral:rRNA from 1 species
CGGACUGUAGGCUGCAACUCGCCUACACGAAGUCGGAAUCGCUAGUAAUCGCGGAUCAGCAUGCCGCGGUGAAUACGUUCCCGGGCCUUGUACACACCGCCCGUCACACCAUAAGAGUUUGUAACGCCCAAAGUCGGUGGCCUAACCUUUAUGGAGGGAGCCGCCUAAGGCGGGACAGAUGACUGGGGUGAAGUCGUAACAAGGUAGC